GGCGCUGUGGUACAGCGGGGUAGAACCCUGGCCUGCAACGCCGGCAUCCCAUAUGGGUACUGGUUCAAGUCCUGGCUGCUCCA
rnacentral:tRNA from 1 species